rnacentral:misc_RNA from 1 species
UACAUAACAACAUUCAUUUGAGGUGCCCAUGUUGCAAAUUCACGCUCCCAAUUUCGCAACGUUGAAAGCGGAGCUACUACCAAAUGUGGUGAGAUAUUUUCUUCAAAAAGAGAUGCUAAAAAUGCAAUGCUCUGUAUAGUUUUCCCAAGGCCCAUCUCAUCAGCAAGUAUCACAUGUGUCUGUUUGGACCACGAGAAACGUAAGAAGUUCAACCCUUCUAGUUGAUAUGGAUGUAAUGAGCCUCCAGUUAGAAAUUCAGGACUAUGU